rnacentral:rRNA from 1 species
AGAGUUUGAUCAUGGCUCAGGACGAACGCUGGCGGCAUGCCUUACACAUGCAAGUCGAACGGACCUAGCAAUAGGUUAGUGGCGAACGGGUGAGUAAUACAUGAGCAACCUGCCUCAAACAGGGGGAUAACACCGGGAAACUGGUGCUAAUACCGCAUAAGACCACAGCGCGGCAUCGCGCAGGGGUAAAAACGAUUCAGUGGUUUGAGAUGGGGCUCAUGUCCCAUUAGCUAGUUGGUGAG